AGUGGCGGACGGGUGAGUAACGCGUGGGUAACCUGCCUCAUACAGGGGGAUAACAGUUAGAAAUGACUGCUAAUACCGCAUAAGACCACGAGCACCGCAUGGUGCAGGGGUAAAAACUCCGGUGGUAUGAGAUGGACCCGCGUCUGGAUUAGGUAGUUGGUGGGGUAACGGCCUACCAAGCCGACGAUCAGUAGCCGACCUGAGAGGGUGACCGGCCACAUUGGGACUGAGACACGGCCCAA
rnacentral:rRNA from 1 species